rnacentral:lncRNA from 1 species
GGCACCUGCACCUAUGCCAGGCUGCUCCCCACUGCCUGCGUCUUGGGUUUCAAGGGGACUGGCAUCUUCUUCUAGCCUCUUGGGCACUUUACUCAUGUGUAUAAACCCACACACAUACACAUAAUUAAAAAUGUGAAUACAAGCUGUACAAAAUAAGAGUUUAAAUGUUGUCAAUUUGAGCUUAGGUCUUACAUCUGGGGUACAAAUACCAUAUUAUGAAAACAUAGUACUCUCUUUCAGGACUUUACAGUGAAGGAAAAGUCAUGGAAGUCACUUUUUUUGGAAAUCAUUUAAUAAUUACUCAACACUGACUUGAAUUGUAUAAAUUCACCAAGUAAAAAUGAGUCCCAAGAUGUAAACUGUCUAUAGAAAAGAAUAAGAUUGUUUAAAAAGAGAUCCCAGUGGAGUUUUUUUUUUUUUUUGCUUUAGAUUCUAGUCUUUUCAAAACAUUUUCAAUCAGACACUUCAGACCUAUGUAAACAUUUGUGUGUGUUUUUUAAAAAGAAGAUUUUAUUUAUUAUGUAUAAGUGGUCUACCUGCAUAUAUGCCUACAGGCCAGAAGAGGGCACCAGAUCUCAUUCUAGGGGGCUAUGAGCCACAGUGUAGUUCCUGGGAACCUCUGAGCCAUGGCUCCAGCCUCCACCGUUUGUGUUCUUAAUAGAACCCAGGCAUGGUGGUGACACAGCUUUAAUCCCAGCUACUCCUCUUCCAGGUCAGCUUGUGCUACAAAGUGAUACCUUGUGUCCAAAGAAAAAAGAAACCCACAUCCUGGAACUAUUUUGCUGGGUUUCUUUAACUAUGUUGCAUGAUGGAGAACUUGGUCGCUUUAUUAUAUGCAAUUUUACAAGACCAGUUUAAUGCAUAUUUAUAUGAAGCAAUGUUUUCUGAAUUAAACAUGUAAGAAUGGUUAUAUUAAGAAUUUAGAACUGUGUUCCUUAAGUGUGAAUGCAUUUGUUAUUUAAAAAUCACUUAGAAUGGUGUUAUUAUAUGUCAAUUCUAUGUCGCUAUUUAUGUGGGAAGUGUUUAUCUCAUGCCUUAAAGGCAUUUAUAUUUGAUUCAUUGCGUUGAUUAGUCCAUAAUUAAGCAUCACAAAGAACAGCUAGGUCUUUUCAUUUCAGAGUAUAUAAAAAUGCUGUGACAGUAGUGUAUUAAGUAGCAAAGCUGCCUUUCUCUUUUUAAAACCAUGUUUUUUAUAGCAAAUAGGGCAUAGUGAAGGGUUUCCUUUCUCAUUUAUAGGCGGUAGCAUCUUCUGUGCCUGCUGCUUGAUUUAAUCCUUACUCACCCUCCGAGGAGAGGAGAGGAGAGCUUCACUGAAGUAGACAGUGCCUUGGCUAUUCUUGGCUCUUCUGGACUCAGCUACUGAUUCCAAAAGUUUGUUCAGAUCUUUGUGGUUGCCUGAAUAUCUUUUUAUAUGAUUUGGUUUUCUUACUCUUUUUAUUUUAAUUUUUAUUCUUUACAUACAUUGCAUCCCGACCACAGCUUCCCCAACCUCCUCUCUUCUUAGUCUUACCCCUACUUUCCCUCUUCACCUAGGUCUACUCCUCUGUUUCCCCGUUUUUUGUUGUUGUUGUUUGUUUUUUUAAAAAGGCCUCCCAGGUAUAUGAACUGCAAAACAAAUUACAAUGAGAUUAGACACAAACCUUCACGUCAAGGCUGGAUGAGGCAGCCUGUUAGGAGGAGGAGGGUUCCAAGUGUGGGCUAAAGAGUCACAGGUACCCCUCCCCACUCUCACUGUUAGGGCUCUCAUGAGAACAACUCUGCAACCAUAAGGUAUAUGCAGAGGCCCUAGGUCAGACCCAUUCUAGGUUUGUGAUGGUCAUUUCAGUCUCUGUGAGCUCCUAUGAGCCCUGCUUAGUUGAUACUGUGGGCUGUGGUCUCAUGGUAUCCUCCAUCCCUCUGGUUCCUAAAGUCCUUCCUUCUCCUCUGUGGGGCUCCCCUGCCUUGCCCAGUAUUUGGCUGUGAGUCUCUGCAUCUGCUCCUAUCACUUGCUGGAUCACUUGCCUCUCUAAUGAUCAGUGAGAUAUGCACUGAUCUAUGAGUAUAGAACAAUGAUGUCAGUAGAAAUUAUUUCAUUGUCUUUUUUUUUUUUUGCCAGUCAUAUUUGGUUCUAUCCCAGGUCUCUGGGCUUACCAGCCUUUGGUUCUUGGCCAUCCACAUAGUGUUAAACGUGGGCUCCCUCUUGUGGUGUGGGCCUCAAGCUGUACCAGUUACUGGUUGGCCACUCUCACAAGUUCUGCGCCGUCAUUAUCCCAGCAUAUCCUGCAGGCAGGACAGAUUGUAGGUGGAAGGUUUUGAAAAGACUGUUUAUCUUCAAAGGCACAAAGUAGGUUGAUAGUGGAAGAUGUUUUAUUUUUCACAUAAUUUCUUAAAGUUGAAGAUGAACACUCUAUAAAUUACUACAAAUUUUAUUUUACAGAUACUAUAUUUCGAAAGGUGCUAUUGUGGAUCAACUUGGAGGAGACCUGAAUUCAACUCCGUUGCACUGGGCCACAAGGUGUACAUUCACUUCUAUAUCAUGCUUCGCCUUAGGCUCCUUUAGUUUUUUUUUUUUAAAUGAUAAUGCUAAUAUUUGAUGUAGUCAAUCAUUUAUUUAUUGCUGCCCAGUGUUAUCUUCACUGGAAACAAAGCUACAAGUUGUUCCUAGGGAAGCAGGCUAAUCCAAUUGUAAUACUUUGGAAGUAUGCAUGCAUUUACUUAAAUAGGUUUUUUGGGGGUUUUAAGAUCAUAUUGGAAUGAACUCACUUAAUAAUUACUAUGCUUUCAUUAAGUUAUCAAAGCUGUUGCUCCAAUUAAGACUUUGAAGAACUGUGAACUCCUGUGUCUUGUUUUAAAGCAACUUGAUAAAAUGUGUGCUUUGAUUCCAUCCUUACGCUCCUCAAGUCUGCGCUUUCCUAGAAGACUUUGGAAUCACUUAAUGUCUAAAUGCUCGUCUUCCUGUUUUUUAGACAAGGCCAUUUAUCCAUGGUUGUACAACUAAUGAAAUAUGGUGCAGACCCCUCCUUAAUUGAUGGGGAAGGAUGCAGCUGUAUCCACUUGGCUGCUCAGUUCGGACAUACCUCAAUUGUUGCUUAUCUUAUAGCAAAAGGACAGGUAAGGAACUCUCAAUAGUGUGCGUCUUAACCAUGUAUUAUUUAUGGCUUAAAUGCCUGAUAUUCGAAGCAUUACACUUUUAAUACCUGAAAAUACUUAAGUAGUAGUUUCUGAUGGAGGAGGAGAGUAAAAGAAAGUGUAGUUAUUUUUGUACUAAGUUUUAAUGUACUUAAAGUAAGAGCAAAUACAGUCACAAAUUAAGAUAAUUUUCUGUUAAAUUGGUUAUGAAAUUAUAAGUGUGAUAAAUAAGUAAUGGAAAGUAAGGGAAGAAUUUUUUCCUUUAAAUAUUUCCCUUAAAUAUUGUCUUAAUUAGGAUUUCUAUUGCUGUGAUAAAAGAGCAAGAGUGAACGCAACUCGCAGAGGAGAGGGCGUACUUAGGUACAUCCCAUCCAGUCUAGCCCAGUCCUGCCCACAGUCAGGCAGGUGGAGGGAGCACUGCUCACCGGCUCACUCCCCGUGGUUUGCUUAGCCUGCUUUUUUUGCAGGACUAUGAGAGGAGCAGGGGUGACUCCACCCACAGUGAGCUGGACCCUCCCACAUCCAUCCUUGAUUAAGAAAAUGUACCACAGGUUUACCCACAGGCACAGUCUGGGUAGAACUUGUAUUUCAAUUGAGGUUUCCUCUUCUAAACUGGCCGUGAUCUGUGUCAAGUUCACAUAAAACUGACCAGCACAACUGACCCCAUGUCAACUUGAUGUAGAAUCAUUGCAAUUCCACUAGAGCCUUUCCUUUCUCAUUUGUCCUCAAGAUGGUAUGUUAAUCUUAUCACAAUAUAAAACCUUCAAAGUCCCACAGUCUUUAAAAAAUUCACACCUUAAAAAGUUGGAUUUAUUUAAGAUCUCCAGAGUACAAAAUAAUCAUUAUAUUAAUUUAGAUUUUAUAAAAUUAGCAUGGCAGCGGUUUAUUCCUUAACCACUGAUUCCCCAGUAACCACACAGAGACUAAGGUUUAUUAAAGUAGCAGUGAGCCACAUACUGUGCAGUCAUUACUGUGUGAAACCUCCAAGUUGUCAGGCUACCUCCCCAACAGUGUUCCCGUCUGUCUUAGUCAGGGUUUCUGUUCCUGCACAAACAUCAUGACCAAGAAGCAAGUUGGGGAGGAAAGGGUUUAUUUGGCUUACACUUCCAUACUGCUGUUCAUCACCAAGGAAGUCAGGACUGGAACUCAAGCACGUCAGGAAGCAGGAGCUGAUGCAGAGGCCACGGAGGGAUGUUCUUUAUUGUCUUGCCUCACCUGACUUGCUCAGCCUGCUUUCUUAUAGAACCAAGACUACCAGCCCAGAGAUGGCACCACCCACAAGGGGCCUUUCCCCCUUGAUCACUAAUUGAGAAAAUGCCUGACAGUUGUAUCUCAUGGAGGCAUUUCUUCAACUGAAGGUCCUGUCUCUGUGAUAACUCCAGCUGUGUCAAGUUGACACAAAACCAGCCAGUACACCGUCUUAGUGCCAUUUGUUCGUCCUCCCUGAUCCAGCUCUUCUUCCAAUGCCUCCUUCAUCCACUCAUGACUCCUCCUUCACUGAGUCUCCGUCUCCGCCCCUCCUUGACUUUUAUUGGCAAGGCAGAGAAUGAAUGGAGAGCGGUGUUUACACAAGCUUGAGGCAGAUUUCUUAGAAGUCAUGUAAACGGAACGAAGCCGUGGCCACAUGGAGACCAGAUAGUGGGAUAGGGAAACCAGCAAUUGCGAUAAUAAAGGAUAAACUUUACACAGUGUACAAAAACAUUAUGCCAACACCAGAGUCCAUCUAAAAUAUAGUAGUCUCAUAACUAUAGGCUUCUGCAAAAU